GAGGUAAAAGGAUCGAUCGAUCGAUUCUCGUGCGUGGUGACUUUCGCACGAGGGGAAAGCUAGCACGUUCGAUGGGACUCGUCUCCGACACCGUUCUCCGAGAAUAGAUAGAAUCUGUAGAUCGGUAAAUGGCUGCCAAGUCGAUGUUAUUCGGCUUCUAUACUGACUGUAAAGCGUCUCGAAGUUACGACUCUUCGUCGUGCAUAGAAUUCUUCUUUUCUUAUCCCCCACCCCCUCUUUCCCCACAAAACCCCGCGUUCCCUCUCAUCCUUUCUAAUCAAAUUCCAUCGUUUUAAUUCAUAUUCCUCGGGUUACGUUCAGCACGUUGUGCUGUUAUUUCAAUAAUAAAUCUAAAAUAUUUUCAAGCUUUGGUAAGUUUUAAAUAAGAAAAAUAUUUUCAUAAGUUAAGUUCCUCGAAUUUAUUUUAGUCACGAUCGUCCAUUAGCUCCUCCCGAUAAUGGACGGAAUAGUUUAAAAUAGAUUGGAAGCCUGACACGCGCGGGACUAUCAUCGGCAUACCACGAGAGACAGGAUAUAAACUUUUGAAUGGAGAAGAGAGAAAACGAGUAGGCCGAAAAUAAAGGUGAGAAUGGAAGCUGAGGUACUUCUCUACGUUUGUCACUCGGCACUCAAGAUAGACGAAGGACUCGAACUAAGGAGGAGGAGGAGGAGGAGGAGGAGGAGGAGGAGGAAGAAAACGAAGAAGAAAAGGAAAGCACGAAGUUUCCUUCAGAGACGAUGACUCCCGGCUGGCUGGUCCUCUCGCUCCACCCUGCUAUUUCUGAUGCCUUGUCAACGACACACGCUUGAACGAACGACGAAGAAGACGAGUUAGGAAGGAGAAAGAGAAAGAACUGGUGGAGCAAGAGGAGGGAAACCCUCCGGCUCGCCGGUUUGAGAACGACGUACUCGAAACCCUGUGGUCUUCGUCGUCUUCGUCGGAUGAUUUAAGAAUCAACUUUGGCCCAACUCGACCUCCUUCUUCCACAUAAAAGUCGACACCUACGACGUUUUUGUUCCCUACGAG